rnacentral:rRNA from 1 species
AGUGAACGCUGGCGGUAGGCCUAACACAUGCAAGUCGAACGGCAGCACAGUAAGAGCUUGCUCUUACGGGUGGCGAGUGGCGGACGGGUGAGGAAUACAUCGGAAUCUACUUUUUCGUGGGGGAUAACGUAGGGAAACUUACGCUAAUACCGCAUACGACCUACGGGUGAAAGCAGGGGAUCUUCGGACCUUGCGCGAUUGAAUGAGCCGAUGUCGGAUUAGCUAGUUGGCGGGGUAAAGGCCCACCAAGGCGACGAUCCGUAGCUGGUCUGAGAGGAUGAUCAGCAACAAUGGAACUGAGAAACGGUCCAGACUCCUACGGGAGGCAGCAGUGGGGAAUAUUGGACAAUGGGCGCAAGCCUGAUCCAGCAAUACCGCGUGGGUGAAGAAGGCCUUCGGGUUGUAAAGCCCUUUUGUUGGGAAAGAAAAGCAGCAGGUUAAUACCCCGCUGUUCUGACGGUACCCAAAGAAUAAGCACCGGCUAACUUCGUG